AGGGUCAUUUGCAAAAACGUGUCAUUUUCAUACUUGUACAUAUAGCCCCUUUUGGCUUACUCCUCAUAGCCUGCCUUAGAUGAGGGAGAGUUGGACACCUAGCCCAAAAAAGCCAAAAGCAGGGAGGCCAGAGACAGGACUAGUUGCUAUUAACCCUGCCUGCUCCUUUCAGGUCUUGAUUCCCAUCUCUGGGUGGAUGCUGAAAGGAAGAUGUUAGCUUUAUCUGAAGCAAACUACUUAAAAUCUUGUAUGUGGGGCAAGUACAGCCCCUCCCGCCUCCAGUCUUGGGCUACUCUAGGAGAGUGCACUCUCCUGGAACCUCAACAUCUAGGUGUGAGCAACCUAGGAAGGAAAAUGCAAGAAGGCUUGGAAACCCAUGGGGAGGCGAAGCCGGGAGUUCCCGCAGUCGCUCAGCUUCCCCCGUCCUCCUCCCCUCUCCUCCCCUGGGAGCCCCGGGAAAUUAUUUAUUAAAACACCACCCGCUCUCUCAUUUAUUUGCGGUGAAUAAUCCUCGGCAUCUCAGCGCGUUUAUUAAACCUUUACCGUCCCUGCGCCCGCAUUACUUUAAUAAUAAAUCGCGUGUCACUUUCCAGACGUUAUUAAAGGCCAUCCGCUGCAGCAGAGGCGGGGUGCGGGGAAGAUGGAGGCGGUGCACACCAGGGGUUCCUCCCAUUCAAGGCUGCGGGGCACCAGCCAGCAGGGUGGCAGAGGGGGAAACCGAGGCUACAAGGAGGCUACUCCUGAAACCUACAAACUCUGCAAACGCUAUUGAGGAAUACAGAAUCCCCAGGUCCCGCGUGACCAUCUUGGGUCAGGUGGGGCUCUCGGCUAGGAGUCUCAGCUCUGCAGGUGGACGCUGUCCGACCCCUGGGCCUUCAGGGGGCGCCUUGAGUCCAGCUGGACGAAGAACAGCCUAGAAGGGGAUUCCCUGGCUGGCUCAGGGACCCAGACACAUGUCCCCUCUUACAGUGAGGAGCCGACCUUCCUCUGGUCCCCACAUAGAAUGAGCGCUUUCCCCCCACCCCUCACAAC
rnacentral:lncRNA from 1 species